AACACAGAGGAGAGCAGAGAACAAAGUACUUCCACUCCCUACAUUGAUUUGGAGAACAUACUGAAAGGGCUGGACUCCUUGUCCAACUGCAUGGAUCAACUGGCGCUGCAAACCCAGCUGUGGCAGUGUGAUCUGAUCGUUUGUGUUGGCUGUCCAGACAAGCUGGUGUGUCUGAAAACCCAAGCCGAACCAAAGCAGCCGCCCCUGUCAUUACCUGAAACCGAGGGAUGAAGAACAGAGAAGAAGGAUAUGUGAGACUGUGAGAGGCAGCCCAUGACCUUGUUCAUCUCUCUGAGAGCAACUUCAGCUUGAUGUCUGGUAACCUUUCCCCCAUACCAGCUGAGAUCCAACCCCUAGAUGUUCUGUAAAGCAUUCAUAGUAAGGACUAAAUAACCUUUUUCUGUAUAUCUGUCUUUUGCAAUCAGAGAAAUUUGUUUGAAAUUAUAUUUGUAAAAGAAAUGUAAC